rnacentral:lncRNA from 1 species
CGGGCAAGGGAAUGCAUGAGCUAUGUGAUCUUCAUCGGCUCGAUUGGUCGCGCUUUAGAUCAUGAGCUACAUUCAUGAGGUAUGGAUCUUUAUUGGGCUCGAUCGCUUGCAUUUUAGACCACGAGCUACAUUCACAAUCGCUACGCUUGCGAAUUUGCAGAGAAUAUUGAGGUGUCCAGUGUGCCAUUCUUGCAUUCCCCGGAAUUCUUUCCGGGAGUGAGAUCUUCGGUUCUUAUUUUCCUUUCUAUCAUAUGACAUAGCCACGUGGACCGUGACUAUGCCACGUGGAUGUCAUACGUGGCAGUGUUUAAAUCUUUUUGGCGGGAUGGUGCAAG